rnacentral:rRNA from 1 species
UACGUAGGGUGCGAGCGUUGUCCGGAAUUACUGGGCGUAAAGAGCUCGUAGGUGGUUUGUCGCGUUGUCCGUGAAAACUCACAACUCAAUUGUGGGCGUGCGGGCGAUACGGGCAGACUGGAGUACUGCAGGGGAGACUGGAAUUCCUGGUGUAGCGGUGGAAUGCGCAGAUAUCAGGAGGAACACCGGUGGCGAAGGCGGGUCUCUGGGCAGUAACUGACGCUGAGGCACGAAAGCGUGGGGAGCGAACAGG